CUAAGCAUAUCAAUAAGCGGAGGAAAAGAAACCAACAGGGAUUGCCCUAGUAACGGCGAGUGAAGCGGCAACAGCUCAAAUUUGAAAGCUGGCUUAGGCCCGCAUUGUAAUUUGCAGAGGAUGCUUCUGGCGAGGUGCCUUCCGAGUUCCCUGGAACGGGACGCCAUAGAGGGUGAGAGCCCCGUAUGGAUGGACACCAGACCUGUGUGAAGCUCCUUCAACGAGUCGAGUAGUUUGGGAAUGCUGCUCUAAAUGGGAGGUAAAUCUCUUCUAAAGCUAAAUACCGGCCAGAGACCGAUAGCGCACAAGUAGAGUGAUCGAAAGAUGAAAAGCACCUUGAAAAGGGGGUUAAACAGUACGUGAAAUUGUUGAAAGGGAAGCGCUUGUGACCAGACUUGCGCCGGGCAGCUCAUCAGGGGUUCUCCCCUGUGCACUCUGCCCGGCUCAGGCCAGCAUCGGUUCUCGUGGGAGGAUAAGAACGGUAGGAACGUGGCCCCCCUCCGGGGGGGUGUUAUAGCCUGCCGUACGAUACUCCCGUGGGGACCGAGGUUCGCGCUCCGCAAGGAUGCUGGCGUAAUGGUCAUCAGCGACCCGUCUUGAAACACGGACCAAGGAGUCGUCCAUUAGAGCGAGCGUUUGGGUGUAAAACCCGCACGCGUAAUGAAAGUGAACGCAGGUGAGAGCUUCGGCGCAUCAUCGACCGAUCCUGAUGUCUUCGGAUGGAUUUGAGUAAGAGUUUUAACGGACGGACCCGAAAGACAGUGAACUAUGCUUGUAUAGGGUGAAGCCAGAGGAAACUCUGGUGGAGGCUCGCAGCGGUUCUGACGUGCAAAUCGAUCGUCAAAUAUGAGCAUGGGGGCGAAAGACUAAUCGAA
rnacentral:rRNA from 1 species